rnacentral:tRNA from 1 species
GGUCGAUUAGCUCAGUGGUAGAGCGCUACCUUCACACGGUAGAUGUCACUAGUUCGAUCCUAGUAUCGACCA